rnacentral:rRNA from 1 species
UGUUGCGAUCAUACCAGCACUAAUGCACCGGAUCCCAUCAGAACUCCGCAGUUAAGCGUGCUUGGGCGAGAGUAGUACUAGGAUGGUGACCCCCUGGGAAGUCCUCGUGUUGCAACCC